rnacentral:misc_RNA from 1 species
GGCGUACUCGCAACAAAAAUACCAAAUCUAUUCCCCAGCGCAAGGAGAUUUUCUUAUCCCACCAUAUACACCAUUCAGUCUUUCUUUGCAGGGUGACAAGACUCUCCAAGAAUAGCACAGUCACCAUCCCACUAAAGGUAUGAGAAAUUCGAAAAAUUAUUGUCUAAACUCAAUAUUCUCUGUGACAUUAACACGAGUAGUUAAAUCUAGAUGUUUGUUUGGAAUUCAUGAUGAACUAAGUAUUUGAUAUUUGGAGUCAAUGAUCAAAUGCAUGUAUAUUUGUUUAAUU